AACGUAGGUGGCGAGCGUUAUCCGGAUUUACUGGGCGUAAAGGGCGGGCAGGCGGUCUGUCAAGUGGGGUGUGAAAGCUCUCAGCUUAACUGGGAGAGGCCGUUCCAGACUGACAGACUGGAGGGCAGUAGAGGUAGGCGGAAUUCCGGGUGGAGUGGUGAAAUGCGUAGAUAUCUGGAGGAACACCGGUGGCGAAGGCGGCGUCCUGGACCAACACUGACACUGAGGAGCGAAAGCCAGGGGAGCAAACGGG
rnacentral:rRNA from 1 species